UGAGGAAUAUUGGGCAAUGCCCGCAAGGGUGACCCAGCAACGCCGCGUGGAGGAUGAAUGUCGUAAGAUUGUAAACUCCUGUUAGAGGGGAAGAAUAGUACCGGUUGGACCGGUAUAUGACUGUACCCUCAGAGAAAGCCCCGGCUAACUACGUGCCAGCAGCCGCGGUAAUACGUAGGGUGCGAGCGUUAAUCGGAAUUACUGGGCGUAAAGCGUGCGCAGGCGGCUCUGUAAGACAGAUGUGAAAUCCCCGGGCUCAACCUGGGAACUGCAUUUGUGACUGCAAGGCUAGAGUGCGUCAGAGGGAGGUGGAAUUCCGCGUGUAGCAGUGAAAUGCGUAGAGAUGCGGAGGAACACCGAUGGCGAAGGCAGCCUCCUGGGAUGACACUGACGCUCAUGCACGAAAGCGUGGGGAGCAAACA
rnacentral:rRNA from 1 species